rnacentral:rRNA from 1 species
UACGUAGGGUGCGAGCGUUGUCCGGAAUUAUUGGGCGUAAAGAGCUUGUAGGCGGUUUGUCGCGUCUGCUGUGAAAUCUCAAGGCUCAACCUUGAGCUUGCAGUGGGUACGGGCAGACUAGAGUGUGGUAGGGGAGACUGGAAUUCCUGGUGUAGCGGUGAAAUGCGCAGAUAUCAGGAGGAACACCGGUGGCGAAGGCGGAUCUCUGGGCCGAUACUGACGCUGAGGAGCGAAAGCGUGGGGAGCGAACAGG